UACCACCAGAACGGUCGUUGAAGAAGCUUAGCCAGUAGGAUAGCCCUCCCGGAUCUGGCCGUCUGCCGCUGCUUUCUUCGGUUCUUCCCCAGUUCGGGAAAGCCAACGAUGAGGAGUCUGUGUAACGGGGUUUGGUUCCUAUAUCUCUCUCUUUUGUGCUCUCUCUCUCUCUAUCUCUCUCUCUCUCUCUCUCUUCGUGUCGAGUUCUUGCUGCUUCUGCUUGGCACUUUGCAGCGGUGGUGGACGAUGGGAUGGGGCGGGGCGCUGGACAUGGCGGUGGUGUGGCUGACAGAAGAGAGUGAGCACGCAGCGGCCAGACUGCAUCUAUGCGAGACGCAGCUGCUGUUGCGUGCUCACUUCUCUGUCUGUCAGCUCUCUCUCCUCCUCGGGACUUGUUCUGCCGCAUCCAACUCCCCCUCCCACUCCCAUCCAUCGCUGCGCACCGUUGCGUCGUCGUGCAGCUGCUGCCGUGUUCUCUCAUCGAUCGCCGUGGCCGUAGCGGCACCGUUCGUCUUGAGGCUGCCGGCCGGCCGGCCGGCCUGGCCGUGUCCCCACCUGAAAACCUUAUCUUGUCUCCUGCUCGUACUCCGAUGGCCUGCCCUUUGGAAUAAGGUACUCUUAAAUUUCAGGCAGCCGCUGCGCGCAUGCACGCCAUGGAUCCUCGCGCCGGGCACGUCUGUUUUCGCGGGGAGGUUCUCGCUGCCGUCUUUGGGGCUUCCGAUGAUGGAUUAUUAGCAGGGGCAUUCAGUUCAGCCUUGGGGGAAGAGGACGCGUGAUGGUUUGAUUAACACUUGGCUUUGCUCGCCUCCCCAGGUUUAGUUAACGGAAAGCACUGUUUGACUAGUCCUUUCUCUACCCCCAUUCUCCCUCCUCUCUCACUUAUCGAUACUCUUUCCUCUUCCUCCUAUCCGUAAAUAUUUUGACAGCAAAAACUGGAUCUUUCCUCCUCUUUGUUGUGCUCAUCUCAUGUGGUGCUGUGAGUGUUUGGAAGUAGCAGGAGCCUAGGUGGGAGGCAGCCAUGAAGAUGGGUGGGCGGAGGCAGAUCUGCUUGGUGCAAGUUGAAAAGGGGGUAGGCAACUACCGCCGGCGGCGGCGGCGGCUUCCAGAUCUGGAAAUAAUGUUUCUUCUCCGGCCGGCACCUUCUUUCAUCUGCUUGUAGGCUGCGGAUGAAACAUUGUCAAGUUCUCAUCAAGUGGGUCAAGUUGAGCAGUGUGUGCAUGGAACCCACCUGUCUGUCCUGUCGUGGACUUGCUGAAACUUCCUGUGAGGUUCCAGUUUGGAUUAUACAGACACAACAUGUCAACAUGCCAGGGCGUACGGAGAAACCUGGACAUUUAUUUGGACCGCCCUGCUGGUACAAAUUUGAUUUUGCUCCCAAGAUCGAGACAGAUACGCAUAUAUAGGGGUCAUAACCUUGCCAAGGAGAAGUCUUGAAGAUCAGUGGCAUUCAACUCAUCACCUAUUCUGCUAUCAUGACUGAUGCAUUACCAUGUGCCCGGUUAUUGCAGCUCAUUGUACCUAGUUUUUGGCAGAUAAUUUCCUGACUGAGCAGCGUUUGUUGCUAAUAUAAUCGUUAUCAUCUUUUAGAAAAGGGCCAAAAGGCCCGCCAAAACAUCUGAUCAUAUCUUUGCUGUAUUUAGACAACUCAAAAGUUGUACCAAUCAAGUAUUCGAGUAGCUCAGCUUC